CAGUACCGCGGGAAUACGGAGGGGGCUAGCGUUGUUCGGAAUUACUGGGCGUAAAGCGCACGUAGGCGGCUUUGUAAGUUAGAGGUGAAAGCCUGGGGCUCAACUCCAGAAUUGCCUUUAAGACUGCAUCGCUUGAACGUCGGAGAGGUGAGUGGAAUUCCGAGUGUAGAGGUGAAAUUCGUAGAUAUUCGGAAGAACACCAGUGGCGAAGGCGGCUUACUGGUCCAUUACUGACGCUGAGGUGCGAAAGCGUGGGGAGCAAACAGGAUUAGAUACCCCCGUAGUCCCUGUCUCUUAUACA
rnacentral:rRNA from 1 species